UACGGAGGGUGCAAGCGUUAUCCGGAUUCACUGGGUUUAAAGGGUGCGUAGGUGGGCAGGUAAGUCAGUGGUGAAAUCUCCGGGCUUAACCCGGAAACUGCCAUUGAUACUAUUUGUCUUGAAUACCGUGGAGGUCAGCGGAAUAUGUCAUGUAGCGGUGAAAUGCUUAGAUAUGACAUAGAACACCAAUUGCGAAGGCAGCUGGCUACACGAAUAUUGACACUGAUGCACGAAAGCGUGGGGAUCAAAC
rnacentral:rRNA from 1 species